CGGAACGGGUGAGUAACGCGUGAGGAACCUGCCUCAAAGAGGGGGACAACAGUUGGAAACGACUGCUAAUACCGCAUAAGCCCACGGGUCGGCAUCGACCAGAGGGAAAAGGAGCAAUCCGCUUUGAGAUGGCCUCGCGUCCGAUUAGCUAGUUGGUGAGGUAACGGCCCACCAAGGCGACGAUCGGUAGCCGGACUGAGAGGUUGAACGGCCACAUUGGGACUGAGACACGGCCCAG
rnacentral:rRNA from 1 species